UCCGGCUUAUCACCGGCGGUUUCUUUAGAGUGCCCAACUAAAUGAUGGCAACUAAAGACGAGGGUUGCGCUCGUUGCGGGACUUAACCCAACAUCUCACGACACGAGCUGACGACAGCCAUGCAGCACCUGUGCAGGAUCUCCGAAGAGGGGCUCUCGUUUCUGAGAGCUUGCUCCUGCAUGUCAAGCCUAGGUAAGGUUCUUCGCGUUGCGUCGAAUUGAACCACAUGCUCCGCUGCUUGUGCGGGUCCCCGUCAAUUCCUUUGAGUUUUAGCCUUGCGGCCGUACUCCCCAGGCGGGGCACUUAAUGCGUUAGCUUCGGCACCGGAGGAGUCGACACCUCCGACACCUAGUGCCCAUCGUUUAAGGCCAGGACUACC
rnacentral:misc_RNA from 1 species